CUACGGGAGGCAGCAGUGGGGAAUAUUGCACAAUGGGCGCAAGCCUGAUGCAGCCAUGCCGCGUGUGUGAAGAAGGCCUUCGGGUUGUAAAGCACUUUCAGCGGGGAGGAAGGCGUUAAGGUUAAUAGCCUUGGCGAUUGACGUUACCCGCAGAAGAAGCACCGGCUAACUCCGUGCCAGCAGCCGCGGUAAUACGGAGGGUGCAAGCGUUAAUCGGAAUUACUGGGCGUAAAGCGCACGCAGGCGGUCUGUCAA
rnacentral:rRNA from 1 species